rnacentral:rRNA from 1 species
CAGCAGCCACGGGAAUACGUAGGGUGCAAGCGUUAAUCGGAAUUACUGGGCGUAAAGCGCACGUGGGCGGCUUUACAAGUCAGAGGUGAAAGCCUGGAGCUCAACUCCAGAAUUGCCUUUGAGACUGUAUCGCUUGAACACGGGAGAGGUGAGUGGAAUUCCGAGUGUAGAGGUGAAAUUCGUAGAUAUUCGGAAGAACACCAGUGGCGAAGGCGGCUCACUGGACCGUUGUUGACGCUGAGGUGCGAAAGCGUGGGGAGCAAACAGGAUUAGAUACCCCCGUAGUCCCUGUCUCUUAUAC